rnacentral:rRNA from 1 species
ACGGGAGGCAGCAGUGGGGAAUAUUGCACAAUGGGCGCAAGCCUGAUGCAGCGAUGCCGCGUGAGGGAAGAAGGUUUUCGGAUUGUAAACCUCUGUCGACAGGGACGAAAAUGACGGUACCUGUGAAGGAAGCUCCGGCUAACUACGUGCCAGCAGCCGCGGUAAUACGUAGGGAGCAAGCGUUAUCCGGAAUUACUGGGUGUAAAGGGAGUGUAGGCGGGACUGUAAGUCAGAUGUGAAAUAUGCCGGCUCAACUGGCAGACUGCAUUUGAAACUGCGGUUCUUGAGUGAAGUAGAGGUAAGCGGAAUUCCUAGUGUAGCGGUGAAAUGCGUAGAUAUUCGGAGGAACACCAGUGGCGAAGGCGGCCUGCUGGGCUUUUACUGACGCUGAGGCUCGAAAGCAUGGGUAGCAAACAGGAUUAGAUACCCUGGUA